CCUACGGGGGACAGCAGUGGGGAAUAUUGCACAAUGGGGGAAACCCUGAUGCAGCGACGCCGCGUGAGUGAAGAAGUAUUUCGGUAUGUAAAGCUCUAUCAGCAGGGAAGAAAAUGAUGGUACCUGCGUACGAAGAACCGGCUAACUACGUGCCAGCAGCCGCGGUAAUACGUAGGGGGCAAGCGUUAUCCGGAUUUACUGGGUGUAAUGGGAGCGUAGACGGCAGUGCAGGUCUGGAGUGAAAGGCGGGGGCUCAACCCCCGGACUGCUCUGGAAACUGUACGGCUGGAGUGCAGGAGAGGUAAGUGGAAUUCCUAGUGUAGCGGUGAAAUGCGUAGAUAUUAGGAGGAACACCAGUGGCGAAGGCGGCUUACUGGACUGUAACUGACGUUGAGGCUCGAAAGCGUGGGGAGCAAACAGGAUUAGAUACCCCUGUAGUC
rnacentral:rRNA from 1 species